AAAGCUUUAGUUAAUUUUAUAACGUCGGCCUGUCAGACCGAAGUGACAAGUUAAAGUCUUGUAAGUUUUA
rnacentral:tRNA from 1 species